rnacentral:rRNA from 1 species
CCCUUAGAUGUUCUGGGCUGCACGCGCGCUACACUGAAGCGUUCAACGAGUAUUUCACCUUGCCCGGGAGGGUUGGGUAAUCUUUUUAAAACGCUUCGUGAUGGGGAUAGAUUAUUGCAAUUAUUAAUCUUCAACGAGGAAUUCCUAGUAAGCGCGAGUCAUCAGCUCGUGCUGAUUACGUCCCUGCCCUUUGUACACACCGCCCGUCGCUCCUACAGAUUGAGUGAUCCGGUGAAUAAUUCGGACUGCAGCAGUGCUUGGUCCUCCGGGCUUUGCAGCGGAAAGUUUAGUGAACCUUAUCACUUAGAGGAAGGAGAAGUCGUAACA